ensembl:snRNA U2 U2 spliceosomal RNA
AUCGCUUCUCGGCUUUUUUAGCUGUAAUCAAGUGUAGUACCUGUUCUUCUUAGGGUGAAAUUUGAGACGGAAACGAUUCGUUUCCUAUUUUGAACACAGAGCACGGUAAUGAACCUUGCUUCUAUUGCUCCGGGUUGUCCUGGUUUUGCAUUAUCGCCAGGUUCGGCCCACAUUCC